GCCCCAGACUCCUACGGGAGGCAGCAGUGGGGGAUAUUGCACAAUGGGGGAAACCCUGAUGCAGCGACGCCGCGUGUGGGAAGACGGUCCUCUGGAUUGUAAACCACUGUCCCCAGGGACGAAAAUGACGGUACCUGGGGAGGAAGCUCCGGCUAACUACGUGCCAGCAGCCGCGGUAAUACGUAUGGUGCAAGCGUUAUCCGGAAUGACUGGGUGUAAAGGGAGCGUAGACGGUUGUACAAGUCUGAUGUGAAAGCCCACGGCUCAACUGUGGGAGUGCAUUGGAAACUGUAGAACUAGAGUAUCGGAGAGGCAAGUGGAAUUCCUAGUGUAGCGGUGAAAUGCGUAGAUAUUAGGAGGAACACCAGUGGCGAAGGCGGCUUGCUGGACGAAAACUGACGUUGAGGCUCGAAAGCGUGGGGAGCAAACAGGAUUAGAUACCCGAGUACA
rnacentral:rRNA from 1 species